AUGCAGGAAAGAGCAAAGCUUUCAGCUGCAACUGCAAUUCAAGCACGCAGAAGAAAUCACAAUAAAGCAAUGUCUUACGAUGAUGUAGAAAUUGAAGACAUGGAGUGGAAUGAGGAGUUGCAGUCAUACACAUAUCCUUGUCCAUGUGGGGACCUGUUCCAGAUCACAAAGGAAGAUCUCAAGCUUGAACAAACAAGGCUCUUCAGCCAUCCAAGCAACAAGCUGUCACUGUUGCUUGAAUUUCAAUUUCAGAUAUCCUGA